UUCUCAGUGCUAUGCCUUACCCACCCGU
rnacentral:piRNA from 1 species